GAAAGGGAAUCGGGUCAAUAUUCCCGAACCCGGACACGGAGAUCGGGCCUUCGGGUCCAAGUGCGGUAACGCAACCGAACUCGGAGAAGUCGACGGGAGUCCCGGGAAGAGUUGUCUUUUCUUUGUAAGGGCUCGGGUCCCUGGAAUCGGCUCGUCCGGAGAUAGGGAUGCUGUUCCCGUAAAGCACCGCGGCUCUUGCGGUGUCCGGAGCGCUCCUGUCGGCCCUUGAAAAUCCGAGGGAGAAAGUGUGAUUUUCGUGCCGGACCGUACCCAUAUCCGCAGCAGGUCUCCAAGGU
rnacentral:rRNA from 1 species